rnacentral:rRNA from 1 species
UUACCAGGCCUUGACAUGCAGAGAACUUUCGAGAGACUGGAUUGGUGCCUUCGGGAACUCUGACACAGGUGCUGCAUGGCUGUCGUCAGCUCGUGCCGUGAGAUGUUGGGUUAAGUCCCGUAACGAGCGCAACCCUUGUCCUUAGUUACCAGCACGUUAUGGUGGGCACUCUAAGGAGACUGCCGGUGACAAACCGGAGGAAGGUGGGGAUGACGUCAAGUCAUCAUGGCCCUUACGGCCUGGGCUACACACGUGCUACAAUGGUCGGUACAAAGGGUUGCCAAGCCGCGAGGUGGAGCUAAUCCCAUAAAACCGAUCGUAGUCCGGAUCGCAGUCUGCAACUCGACUGCGUGAAGUCGGAAUCGCUAGUAAUCGUGAAUCAGAAUGUCACGGUGAAUACGUUCCCGGGCCUU